GCAGCUCGGCAUCUUACACACACUAAUCUACGCAACACAUGAAUGUAUUACUCAACACACACUGUCUUACAAUCGGCCAUAAGCAUCUGUACACUCAACACACACUGUCUACAUCGGCCAUAAGCAUCUAUAUACUCAACACACACUCCCUUACAAACGGCCAUAAGCAUCUGUACACUCAACACACACUGUCUACAUCGGCCAUAAGCUCUAUAUACUCAACACACACUCCCUUACAAACGGCCAUAAGCAUCUAUAUACUCAACACACACUCCCUUACAAUCGGCCAUAAGCAUCUAUACACUCAACACACACUAACAUCGGCCAUAAGCAUCUAUACACUCAACACACACUGUCUAUAUCAGCCAUAAGCAUCUUUACACUCAAUAUACACUAACAUCGGCCAUAAGCAUCUAUACACUCAAUAUACACUAACAUCGGCCAUAAGCAUCUAUGCACUCAAUAUACACUAACAUCGGCCAUAAGCAUCUAUACACUCAAUACACACUAACAUCGGCCAUAAGCAUCUAGCUCAAGUUAACAGGAUCUUGAAGUAUUGUUGCAAACCACUAUUGCAAGUCACAAAUGAAGACACUGAAAUUAAAUCAGUUACUGCCGUUAGUGUUCUAGGUUUUUCUAGGUGUUCUUAUUGCGGUUAGUCUGUCAGGCUUUUCCAUGUGUUCUUAGUGGCGUUAGUGUGCAAGGCUUUUCCAUGUGUUCUUAUUGCGGUUAGUGUGCUAGGCUUUUCCAUGUGUUUUUAUUGUGGUUAGUGUGCUAGGCUUUUCCAUGUGUUUUUAUUGCGGUUAGUGUGCUAGGCUUUUCCAUGUGUUUUUAUUGCGGUUAGUGUGCUAGGCUUUUCCAUGUGUUUUUAUUGCCGUUAGUGUGCUAGGCUUUUCCAUGUGUUCUUCCUGAGUUCAGAGGAUAAUGACAUGGAGCAGUCAUGCUGAGAGGUGUCCUUCUCUGCAUUUUAAGCCGCGGACAGGACGGCCGGACCCCGAGGUCGCCGGCACACACUGC
ensembl:lncRNA